rnacentral:tmRNA from 1 species
GCUCUGGCAAUGUGGGAUGCGCUGCACUAUAUUGGGUUCGCCGGGUUCGCCCGGCUAUGGCGCUAAACGCUAUACGGAAUAGGCCUUGCGGACCCGGGGGCGGUACCCGGCGCCUCCACCAAUUUCCGGCUUCGGCCGGGUCUUCGGGGGCGAAACAGGAUCGACGCGGGUAGUAAAGGUAUGGUUUGCGCUCGGCAUGGUAUCCACCGUUAUCGGGCUAAACUCAACAAGUGCCAACGACAACGUUGAACUUGCCGCUGCGGCUUAACCCGUAAGCGCGGUCCGGGGGGCACCGGGCAACAGAAGCCCCCCACU